rnacentral:lncRNA from 1 species
UGGUUAUUUCACAAAAACAACAAAGCAACCUCAGCAUAUGGACACAUUGAUUUACAUGAACAUUUCUGAGCUAUUCCAUAGGGCGAUGAUCAUGAUUCUAGGGCGGACCUGUGCCUUAGAGCCUAAAAACGAAGCUAGACUAGUUUAAUCAUGUUAUAAACUUUGUAUUUUCCUGUUUUGAAACAAUGGAACACUCUUGUCAAUAAAUAAAAUGUAACUUUAAUUUCCAUGGUUGUAUAACAAU